AUAUAGAUGUUUGUUAUUGGCCAACAAGUUUGAAGAUACGUAUUGUGUUAUACUAUUGGCUUAUAGCUCUAAAUGUGUGUAUAUUUUGUUACGCUAUUAGCCUAAAGUCAUAAGUUUCAGGAUCAAGCCUCUGCAUCUGCACCAUGGUGCAGGACCCAGUCUGUGGAGGUGACGGACAAACCUAUUCCAACGCAUGUCUGGCAGGAUGCAAUGGAAUCACACAGUUCACCGCCGGAACAUGCGUAGGGGUGCCAACACAACACUGAACGCAGGCCAAGAACAUUUGAUAUAAAAUGUGUCUGAAAACAUUCUUUGUGUGUUAAAAAGAUCUGCACUGUUCACUGUGUUUAAUGGAGUAAAAUAAAAUAAGUUGAGCAUUAUAGUUUCAUUUUGGUUUUGGUUUAAAAAAAAUAUGUAUAUCAUAAAUUUAUCAUACAAAAUGUGUCUCUAGAGGUGCAUUGAAAUAUCACAAUUAUAUUUUGACUUAUAUUAUAUUAAAUUUUAAAGA